UCACAGCCAAGCCACUGCAGGCAGACCUGGGGGAGCCGCUCCCUGCUGCCAGGAGAGUCGGCCACGGAGUCGGCCACGGCCGGGAGAGAACUCCAUGGAAUCAAACCCCAGGAGUGGCUUCCUCAUGAGUUUCGUUUGGACACUGCCUCGUGCCCCACACCAAGAGUCGAGCCUGCCUCACUUCACGGAGGUUCAGUCACCUAACUCAUGCGUGUGCCCACCACUGCAGGCAACGACUCUGAGGCACAUCCAUCUGGUCCAGGGCAGACCAGUGUCUCACACAGCCAGAUCUGACAGACAGAGACCCAACCCGGGCCAUCUCCAGCCUGUGACCCCACGGUGGGGCUGGCAGGCUGGCCAGGUCACUCCCUGCACCUGUUAUCAGCCCUGGCUGCCCUUGGACAGCUGACAGCUUCGGCUCCAGUCACCUCGGCUACACAGAAACAGGACCCUCAGAUGCUCUAUCCCCACUCAUCCUAUGCACAAGGGCAUAGACAGAAUGCAAAUUAAAUCCCAAAAGCCAUUUGCCUGUGAUGGUGCAUUUACUAAUUUCAACACAAAGGAGUCAGGAAAUGCAGAAGCGGAGCCCUUCCCACGCACAGCUCCCACUCCCAGAAGAGCCAAUUACACCCCCACUUCAAUGACAUGUGACGAGAAACAGCACCAGCAUAGUGGCCUCGUGAUGACCUCCUCUCUGGAUUCACACCAGGAACGAAAUGCUUGGUGGCAGUAAGUGUGGUUUGCUCCUUCCAAACUGGCAGUCUCUGAAAAGUUGGUUUGCCCCAAGAAUUCAAUGAAAGCUUUCCUGUCACCUACUGGCCACCCACACACCUGCUGGCAGCGGAGACCUGACAGGGCCAGGAAGUACGUGUGCCACAGGCUACCAGGUUAGCCAAGGUCCUCCAGCAGGGGCAUAGGUGGCCCCUACGGAUACCAUCCCAGGAGACCCUGCUGGUAGCUCUUUCCAGCAGAAGCACCAGCAUCACCUGUGCUGAUGGGUCCACAGAAGCCCAAGCAGCGACCACCUGGUGACCCAGUCAGACGGGAAGGUAUGGCCAGCUGCAAGUGUGAUGUCAGCCACAGCCACAGCAGACUGCAGACACCAACGAUUCCUGAGCCUCUAA
ensembl:lncRNA